rnacentral:rRNA from 1 species
UGGGGAAUCUUGGACAAUGGGCGAAAGCCUGAUCCAGCGACGCCGCGUGGGGGAUGAAGCCCUUCGGGGUGUAAACCCCUGUUGCGAGGGAGGAAUAAGGCCUGGAGGAAAUGCCAGGCCGAUGACUGUACCUCGCGAGGAAGCCCCGGCUAACUACGUGCCAGCAGCCGCGGUAAUACGUAGGGGGCGAGCGUUACCCGGAUUCACUGGGCGUAAAGCGGGUGUAGGCGGCUCGGUAAGUCGGGUGUGAAAUCCCACAGCUCAACUGUGGAAUUGCGCCCGAAACUGCUGAGCUUGGGGCCGGUAGAGGGAGACGGAACUGCCGGUGUAGGGGUGAAAUCCGUAGAUAUCGGCAGGAACGCCGGUGGGGAAGCCGGUCUCCUGGGCCGCGCCCGACGCUGAGACCCGAAAGCUAGGGGAGCAAACCGGAUUAGAUACCCGGGUAGUCCUAGCCGUAAACGAUGCCCACUAGGUGUGGGGGAUUAAUUCCUCCGUGCUGUAGCUAACGCGUUAAGUGGGCCGCCUGGGGAGUACGCCCGCAAGGGUGAAACUCAAAGGAAUUGGCGGGACCCCGCACAAGCGGUGGAGCGCGUGGUUUAAUUGGAUGCUGAGCCAAGAACCUUACCAGGGCUUGACAUGCAGGUGGUACCGACCCGAAAGGGGAGGGACCCCAUCCUUUUGGAUGGGGAGCCUGCACAGGUGGUGCACGGCCGUCGUCAGCUCGUGCCGUGAGGUGUUGGGUUAAGUCCCGCAACGAGCGCAACCCCUGCCCUUAGUUGCAAUCGGUUCGGCCGGGCACUCUAAGGGACUGCCGCGAACCAAGCCGGAGGAAGGAGGGGACGACGUCAGGUACUCGUGCCCUUUAUGCCCUGGGCUACACACGCGCUACAUGGGUGGUACAAUGGGUUGCGACCCCGCGAGGGGAGCCAUCCCUAAACCACCCUCAGUUCGAUCGCAGCUGCACCCGCCUGCUGAGCGAUCGCUAGUAUCGCGAUCAGCCACGCCGCGUGAAUACGUUCCGGGGU